rnacentral:rRNA from 1 species
UGACCUCAAAUCAGGUAAGAACACCCGCCGAACUUAA